AUUGAACGCUGGCGGCAGGCCUAACACAUGCAAGUCGAGCGGAUGAAGGGAGCUUGCUCCUGGAUUCAGCGGCGGACGGGUGAGUAAUGCCUAGGAAUCUGCCUGGUAGUGGGGGAUAACGUCCGGAAACGGGCGCUAAUACCGCAUACGUCCUGAGGGAGAAAGUGGGGGAUCUUCGGACCUCACGCUAUCAGAUGAGCCUAGGUCGGAUUAGCUAGUUGGUGGGGUAAAGGCCUACCAAGGCGACGAUCCGUAACUGGUCUGAGAGGAUGAUCAGUCACACUGGAACUGAGACACGGUCCAGACUCCUACGGGAGGCAGCAGUGGGGAAUAUUGGGCAAUGGGCGAAAGCCUGAUCCAGCCACGCCGCGUGUGUGAAGAAGGUCUUCGGAUUGUAAAGCACUUUAAGUUGGGAGGAAGGGCAGUAAGUUAAUACCUUGCUGUUUUGACGUUACCAACAGAAUAAGCACCGGCUAACUUCGUG
rnacentral:rRNA from 1 species